GUGUAUGAGUGAGUGUGAGCGUGUGUGUAUAAGUGAGUGUGAGCGUGUGUGUGUAUAAGUGAGUGUGAGCGUGAGCAAGUGAGAGAAGACACUCCUCCAUGGUAGCAGCCAUGACUAAACCUUCUGGGAAGAAAGGAGAGUCUCAUUGUUUACAAGGUUUGAGUGAAAACAGCUCAUUCUGCGCCUGCUAUUCGGAUCAGCAAAGGUGUCGAUAAUCACACCGAAGAUCAGGUUUAGGACGAUGAUGAUGACCAUGAAGAAGAAAAGCAGAUCGUAGAUCACUCGGGCUGCAAACAGAGGCUCCUGAAUGAAGAGAGCAGGAGAACACUGGUGGCCUUUUCACUGGACAGGUUAUGUUUUAGCAGAAGGGUGUGAAGACAGGGAGGAACAGUCUAAUGACGCACUCCACACCUCAGCUCAACACAGAGUGCGCACAGAGAAUGCAGAG